GUUGGUCUGUGAUGAUCAGUUUCUUACCUACAUUGUUUGAGCAGUAUGCAGUGAUACUACAAAAAUGACUGAGAUCAAC
rfam:Lingula anatina scaffold1, whole genome shotgun sequence.